rnacentral:snRNA from 1 species
AUACUUACCUGGCACAGGGGUUACCGUGAUCAGCAAGGCGGUUCCCCCAGGGCGAGGCUCGGCCAUUGCACUUCUGGGUCGGGUUGACCUCUGCGAAUAUCCCUCAAGUGGAUAUCUCGUGUGUGUUAUUUUUGGUAGCCGGGACGUGCGUACGCGCACAUCCCGA